rnacentral:tRNA from 1 species
AGGAUAAUAGUUAAAAAAUAACAUUUGAAUUGCAUACAAAAAAUAUUGAAUUUUCAAUUUAUCUUA